UAAAAAAAAAAGAAAAAAAAUUUGAUUAUUAAUAGUUAUAUUCUUAAAAUUUAAAAAAUUUGGCGGUAUUUUAAUCUAUUCAGAGGAAUCUGUAUUAUAAAUGAUAAUACACAAUGAAUCUAACUUAAUUUUGUAAAAUUUGUAUAUCGUUAUCAUAAGAAUAUUUUUAAAAAAUAAUAAUUUUCUAAAAAAAUAAAUAUUUAAUAUGUUAAAUCAAGGUGCAGUUUAUAGUUAAGUAAAUAUGGAUUACAAUAAAAUUAUUUAUAUGAAUAUUAUAGUGAAAUUUAUAGUUAAAGGUGGAUUUGUUAGUAAAUUUAUAAAGAUUAAUAGAUUGAAAUUAGUUCUAAAAUAUGU
rnacentral:rRNA from 1 species